rnacentral:rRNA from 1 species
AGAGUUUGAUCCUGGCUCAGAACGAACGCUGGCGGCAGGCCUAACACAUGCAAGUCGAACGCGACCUUCGGGUCGAGUGGCGCACGGGUGAGUAACGCGUGGGAAUCUGCCCUGUGGUACGGAAUAACAUCGGGAAACUGGUGCUAAUACCGUAUAUCCCCUGAGGGGGAAAGAUUUAUCGCCAUAGGAGGAGCCCGCGUAGGAUUAGCUAGUUGGUGAGGUAACGGCUCACCAAGGCGACGAUCCUUAGCUGGUCUGAGAGGAUGAUCAGCCACACUGGGACUGAGACACGGCCCAGACUCCUACGGGAGGCAGCAGUGGGGAAUAUUGGACAAUGGGGGAAACCCUGAUCCAGCCAUGCCGCGUGUGUGAUGAAGGCCUUCGGGUUGUAAAGCACUUUCGCACGUGACGAUGAUGACGGUAACGUGAGAAGAAGCCCCGGCUAACUUCGUGCCAGCAGCCGCGGUAAUACGAAGGGGGCAAGCGUUGUUCGGAAUUACUGGGCGUAAAGGGCGCGUAGGCGGUGUACUAAGUUAGGCGUGAAAGCCCUGGGCUCAACCCGGGAAUUGCGCUUGAUACUGGUACGCUAGAAUCCAGGAGAGGUUGGUGGAAUUCCCAGUGUAGAGGUGAAAUUCGUAGAGAUUGGGAAGAACACCGGUGGCGAAGGCGGCCAACUGGACUGGUAUUGACGCUGAGGCGCGAAAGCGUGGGGAGCAAACAGGAUUAGAUACCCCAGUAGUCC